rnacentral:rRNA from 1 species
AGAGUUUGAUCCUGGCUCAGAACGAACGCUGGCGGCAGGCUUAACACAUGCAAGUCGAACGCCCCGCAAGGGGAGUGGCAGACGGGUGAGUAACGCGUGGGAAUCUACCCAGUUCUACGGAACAACACAGGGAAACUUGUGCUAAUGCCGUAUACGCCCCAAGGGGGAAAGAUUUAUCGGAAUUGGAUGAGCCCGCGUUGGAUUAGCUAGUUGGUGAGGUAACGGCUCACCAAGGCGACGAUCCAUAGCUGGUCUGAGAGGAUGAUCAGCCACACUGGGACUGAGACACGGCCCAGACUCCUACGGGAGGCAGCAGUGGGGAAUAUUGGACAAUGGGCGCAAGCCUGAUCCAGCCAUGCCG